rnacentral:rRNA from 1 species
GACAGAGGGUGCAAACGUUGUUCGGAAUUACUGGGCGUAAAGCGCACGUAGGCGGCUUUGUAAGUUAGAGGUGAAAUCCCGGGGCUCAACCCCGGAACUGCCUUUAAUACUGGCAAUCUCGAGUCCGAGAGAGGUGAGUGGAAUUCCGAGUGUAGAGGUGAAAUUCGUAGAUAUUCGGAGGAACACCAGUGGCGAAGGCGGCUCACUGGCUCGGUACUGACGCUGAGGUGCGAAAGCGUGGGGAGCAAACAGG